GUUCCUAACUGACAGCUGCUACAAGGGAAAGGGAAACAAAAAAACUAAACCAAACAAACCUCCCUUUUAUUCGGUCGUCGUCGUUCUUCUUCACAAUUUGGUCUGAAACGACACAGUAUCAGUUCGUUGCAUUAGUUGCUAAAUGGCUGAUUCAGAGAAAUUGACGGUUUGAAAAAGGCUUAUGCCGAAAUAAUUUUGAACACGGCUAAAGAGGCGUCGGCGAGGAUAAUGGUGUCGGAAAGGAAGGCUCGCCGGUACCAGCAGGAGCUGUUCGCGGCCAAAGACGAGGCAUUGCAUGUGUUGGUUAGGUUGAAACAGAUGUUGGAUCUAACGUUAAUGAAGCGGAGAUGAUGUCCUUGAAUCAACAGAAAAGAAUUAAAGAGCUUGAAGCACAACUAGGUGAAGCUGAGGAUAUAGUUAGAGAUCUUAGAGCAGAGUUGAGAGAAGCACAAGAUGAGUUGGAGAGGCUGACCAAAAAUCCGAUGCGGUGUUUGGGUGAACAAAAACAGAACAUGAUGUUG